AUAAGAAGGAGAGAGUUGCAGAAGAGAGAAAUAGAAGAGAGACUCUCUAUUUCUCUUGUUUGGUUAGCAGAGAAAAAAGAAGAGAGAAGACUGCAGCGUGGGUCCCACUCAAAAUCUCUUUCUUCUCUCAACAGCGAAGAAAAUGGAAAGAAACACACUAGUCUUUUUUAUCCCCUUUUUGCCCUUUUCUUUUCAGUUUUCACGGCAAUCUCUCCCGCGCUUCCUCUCCUCCCACCUUUUUAUUCCUUUGGGUCAUUAUCUUCCUCACUUAUCCUUCAAGUUUGGUGAUGGACCUGCAACUUCUCUUGAUCUAUCCUUCUUAGAUCUCUACAGUACCACAUCAAAACCAGAUCUGAAAACUACAAAUCAUAGAAUCAACGUACUGAUAUAUUUGAUGAAGGGCAAGAAGAACCAAUUGUUGACUCAUACAGUCCAACAUAUGGGAAAUCACAUCAAUCCACAUGAACAUCUUGUUCUCGCGGAACAAAGCGUAAGGCUCCAAUGAAUGAUUUGUGGAGGCUCAAUUGGAUAGAAUGACGAGUGGCAUUGGACUCAUGGCUGAUGCUUUGAACAAAGGUAAUUCAAUUUAUGAUCAAUUGCAUGAUGUGGCUAAACAACAAAUAGAAAUAUAUGCACAACAAGUUGCAGCUAUUGAGAAAUGCAACGAAAUCUUGAAAAAUUGUAGACCUCGAGUGUAUACAGGAGCAGAUGUAUGGAAUAUGCUUGAUGAGUUGGAUCAUCUGCUGCCACAAUUUCGUUUUAAGUGCUAUGAAGUUCUUUGCAAUGAUAACAAAAAGAAGGACCUGGUUUUUGGUGUGCCCACUGACAUGCACUUACAUGUUCUCUUACAAAUGAUGAAUGCUAAUUUCUACCAUUGAUGUUAUUUGAUAUCUUUUUGUGUCAUGUAUAUGACUCUUGUGUGUAUAUGUAAUGAGGACACAUUUGGUGCCUAUAAUUAUGCUUGUAACAUGACAAGUAUUUUGACAUGAAAUAUGCGGUAGGGAAAAAAAAAAAGCACUAUGUAGUUGCCACUUUAGGCAAUUGACAGUAGAUGAUAUAUAUAUGAUAUAAUGAUUUUGUGUUA